rnacentral:rRNA from 1 species
AUUGAACGCUGGCGGCAGGCCUAACACAUGCAAGUCGAACGAGUGGCGGACGGGUGAGUAAUGUCUGGGGAACUGCCUGAUAGAGGGGUAUAACUACUGGAAACGGUAGCUAAUACCGCAUACCAUCGGAUGUUCCCAGAUGGGAUUAGCUAGUCGGUGGGGUAAAGGCUCACCUAGGCGACGAUCCCUAGCUGGUCUGAGAGGAUGACCAGCCACACGGGAACUGAGACACGGCCCAGACUCCUACGGGAGGAAGCAGUGGGGAAUAUUGCACAAUGGGCGCAAGCCUGAUGCAGCCAUGCCGCGUGUAUGAAGAAGGCCUUCGGGUUGUAAAGUACUUUCAGCGGGGAGGCGUUACCCGCAGAAGAAGCACCGGCUAACUCCGUGCCAGCAGCCGCGGUAAUAC